UUGACUGGGGCGGUCGCCUCCCAAAAGGUAACGGAGGCGCCCAAAGGUUCCCUCAGCGCGGGUGGAAAUCGCGCGUUAGAGUGCAAAGGCAAAAGGGAGCUUGACAGCGAGACCAACAAGUCGAGCUGGUACGAAAGUAGGGCUUAGUGAUCCGGCGGUUCUGAGUGGAAGGGCCGUCGCUCAACGGAUAAAAGCUACCCCGGGGAUAACAGGCUUAUCUCCCCCAAGAGUCCACAUCGACGGGGAGGUU
rnacentral:ncRNA from 1 species